CAGGUCUGGGAACUGAGAAGCCCAAGAUCAAGUGUCUAGCAGGUACCAGUUCCUGUCUUAAUUCUGCAGAAAGGGUUAAGAGAACUGGGAGGCAACUAACACAAGAACAACUAUUUUUGCAUGCAUUAUAAUCUCUGGAGCCUCAGGAGAAAACUGUGAGCAAGAUAUCAGUAUCCCCAGCUUACAGAUCAGAAGACUGAUACCAGAGAGGAUGAAUCAUCUGCCUAAAUUCAUAAAGCUGAUACGUGGCAAAAUGAAAAAUUCACAUCCAAGCCUUUCUGCCUCCUAAGCCCGUGCUCUUUCUAGCACUGUGCUAAAGUGACUUCUCCUACACAACAGUCCCUUGGAUAUAUGAAGAUGGGGUCUACCUGGGAGUGAAGUGAACAUGAAGGGAAAGAGAAAGUGAAGAUGAAGAGCAAGAGGGACCAGUCUCGACGGCAUUGCAUCUAGAUUUGCUGAAGGCUGUUUCUCCUGUAGGUUGCCCAUUCCCUUGAGUCAAU